AGUGAACGCUGGCGGUAGGCCUAACACAUGCAAGUCGAACGGCAGCACAGUAAGAGCUUGCUCUUACGGGUGGCGAGUGGCGGACGGGUGAGGAAUACAUCGGAAUCUACUUUUUCGUGGGGGAUAACGUAGGGAAACUUACGCUAAUACCGCAUACGACCUACGGGUGAAAGCAUGGGAUCUUCGGACCUUGCGCGAUUGAAUGAGCCGAUGUCGGAUUAGCUAGUUGGCGGGGUAAAGGCCCACCAAGGCGACGAUCCGUAGCUGGUCUGAGAGGAUGAUCAGCCACACUGGAACUGAGACACGGUCCAACCUCCUACGGGAGGCCGCAGUGGGGAAUAUUGGACAAUGGGCGCAAGCCUGCUCCAGCCAUACCGCGUGGGUGAAGAAGGCCUUCGGGUUGUAAAGCCCUUUUGUUGGGAAAGAAAAGCAGCAGGUUAAUACCCCGCUGUUCUGACGGUACCCAAAGAAUAAGCACCGGCUAACUUCGC
rnacentral:rRNA from 1 species